ACCCCUGUGAGAAUGCCCUACAGUUCCCCGCCCGGGAACAAGGAGCUGGUAUCAGGCACAUUUUAUUAAGCCCAUGACACCUUGCUUAGCCACACCCUCAAGGGAACUCAGCAGUGAUAGACAUUAAGCCAUAAGUGAAAACUUGACUUAGUUAAAGCUAACAGGGCCGGUAAAACUCGUGCCAGCCACCGCGGUUAUACGAGAGGCCCAAGUUGUCAAUUACCGGCGUAAAGAGUGGUUAAAGAAUAAUUUAUACUAAAGCCGAACACCCUCAAGGCAGUUAUACGCACCCGAAGGUUAGAAGCUCAAUUACGAAAGUAGCUUUAUUUCUCCUGAACCCACGAGAGCUAUGAUACAAACUGGGAUUAGAUACCCCACUAUGCCUAGCCCUAAACAUUGAUAGUACUCUACACCCACUAUCCGCCUGGGUACUACGAGCAUCAGCUUGAAACCCAAAGGACUUGGCGGUGCUUUAGAUCCACCUAGAGGAGCCUGUUCUAGAACCGAUAACCCCCGUUCAACCUCACCUUUUCUUGUUUCCCCC
rnacentral:rRNA from 1 species